UUUCUUGUGUUCCCAUUUGGAAUAAAAGUUUUUUUUUUUUUUUUUUGGUAUUAUCAGUUGCAACUAAAAUCGUGCUUCCUUAAAUAUUUUCUAUUUGUGGAUAAGUAGUCAAUGAUUAGCUUUUUUGGUUUUCUUACCUUCAAAGUUUUCAACUUUAUCCCUUUGAUUUUUGAUCUUUGUGAUUUUUGAAGUCAAAAAGUAUAUGCUUCAUUGGAUUUUGGUGGUGUUGGUGUGAACUGAAAAUGCAAGUCAACUAAGUAGAAUGAAGUGAAUAUUGAUAUAGAAUUUGUUUUUGAUGAUUUUAGUGUUAAGGGGUUGGUGAAAUUUAGCUUUGAUUUGAUUUUGCAUCUCUUUCCAGUUUUAAGCUUUGAGGUGGGUUUGGUUGGGGUUUAUUGUGUGAGGUGAUUUUGGUGAAAUGGGGAGUAAUUAUAAUUUCAAGAACUUUGGAAAUGAGCCACCAGGGGAGGGUGGAAGUGGUGGUUGUGGAAAGCAGCCGGGGAACUUUCAGUUGCCGCGGCAGUCAUCUAUCUAUUCGUUGACGUUUGACGAGUUUUUGAGCUCAACAGGAGGAAUUGGAAAGGAUUUUGGGUCAAUGAACAUGGAUGAGUUGCUGAAGAAUAUAUGGAGUGCUGAGGAGAGUCAAACUAUGGGAGGUACUGGGAUUGGUGGGCAAGAGGUUGGUGUUUCAGGUGGGCAUUUGCAGAGGCAAGGCUCUUUGACUUUACCUAGGACACUGAGUCAGAAGACUGUUGAUGAAGUUUGGAGGGAUAUGUCAAAGGAGCAUGGUGGUGGUGGUGGUGGUGGAAAGGAUGGAAAUAGUAUUGGGGUGCCACCAAAUAUGCCUCAGAGGCAACAGACUUUAGGGGAGAUAACUCUUGAGGAGUUUUUGGUUAGAGCUGGAGUUGUGAGAGAAGAUGCACAGUUAGCUGCGAAAUCGAAUAAUGCCGGAGGAAUCUUUGCUGAUUUGUCCUAUGCUGGGAAUAAUACAGGGCUUGCAUUUGGAUAUCAACAACCUAAUAGGAACACAGGUUUGAUGGCUGGUAGUAUCCCUAACAAGAAUGGUGAAUCUGUUAUUCAGUCUGCUAAUUUGCCACUGAAUGUGAAUGGGGUUAGAUCCACACAACAACAGCUAAGACCACAGCAACUGCAACAGAACCAACAACCACAGCCUCAGCCUCAGCCUCAGCCUCAGCCUCAGCCACAGCAGCAACCUAUUUUCCCUAAGCAGCCUGCUUUGCCCUAUGGUGCUCCUAUGGCUGUUCCAAAUAGUGUUCAGCUGGGUAGUCCGGGACUCAGGGCGGGGAUGGCUGGUAUUGCUGAUCCAGCACUCAACUCUAAUUUCAUUCAAGGCGCUAAUCUAAUGGGUGGAGGAAUGAAUAUGGUAGGUUUAGGAGCCGGUGGGGUUACUGUUGCAACAGCUUCUCCAGGUGUUUCAUCAGAUGGACUUGGGAAGAGCAAUGGAGAUACACCGUCUGUAUCUCCAGUUCCCUAUGUGUUUAACGGUGGUUUAAGAGGCAGGAAAUACAGCACUGUGGAGAAAGUUGUUGAAAGGAGGCAGAGGAGAAUGAUUAAAAAUAGAGAGUCAGCUGCUAGAUCAAGAGCUCGAAAGCAGAAACUACAUGACUCAAAUCAUCUGUAUAUUGGUAAAACAUUCUCUCAGUCCCAAAAAUUUCGUGAAAGAAAUGGAACUGGCUUCUCAUCAAAGGAGUUUAUCUCACGUUUCCAGUCUAAAAUUUCCCCGUCAAGUUUAUGGGGAAAAGUUUGCUGGUGUUUUUGGGGCUUCACGAGGCCUAUACUAUGGAGCUAGAAGCAGAAGUCGCUAAACUAAAAGAAGAGAACGAAGAACUUCAAAAGAAACAGGAAGAAAUGUUGGAAAUGCAGAAGAAUCAGGUUAUGGAAAUGAUGAACCUUCAAAAGGGAGCUAAAAGGCGAUGCUUGAGACGGACACAGACUGGUCCGUGGUAAAAAAAAGUGGUUCAUAAAUUAGUGAUAUUAGCCAUCAUAUUUACAAACUUAUAGUAGGUGCCUGUACAGAAAGGGAAUAUGUAUUCACUGUAGAUUAGAAGAGAAGAGUUUGUCUUUUUUCUCUAGGUUUUGCAUUCUGUUAAUUUCUUGUUCUCCCUUGUUGGCAUCAUGCAUAGAUUAGACCCAGAUGUAGAAAUGCCUAGUUGAUAGCAGAUACGGAUUAAAAUACAUAUAUUAAUGGUACCUUUUGUAA